GCUACACCAGGCUCCAAUCUGAUUUGGCAACUGGAUGCCCUUCCUAAUGCCAACCACUCUGAGAGUGUUGAUAUUGUUAGUAAUGAGCUAUUUAACACAUGAUUGCAGCUCCUACAGUGGAUUUUGGUAAAAUUGAAGCAUGGCAGUCAUGAAGUUCCUCUUUUUGCAUGGCAAAGGAGCAGUGGAAAUCCAUGGUGAGUUUAAAGAAUCUUGAAGGAUGGAUGCCCAUCUUAUUCCACAGUGAAAAUUUGGGCAUCAAGGCUUCAGACUGGUCAUUUUGAGGUCACAGAUGAACCCCAGUCAGGACAGCCAACUUCCACAACCACUGAGGACAAAGCCAAUGCUGUGACAUCAAAAUUCUUGAGGAGCACCGGAUUUCAGCUAAAGUCACAGCUGAGACUCUGGGAAUUUCCUGCAAAAGAGUUGACCACAUUAACCACAAUAUUCUGGACAUGAGAAAGCUUUCCAUAAAAUGGGUGCUGAAAUACCUGAACACAUCUCAGCAGUGCAAUAGAGUGAUGACACUAGUGGUUAUUUUGAACUGGUUUGCAGUGGAAGAGGCUGAUUUUAUGGCUAGUUUAGUCACCACAAAUGAAACUUGGCUCCAUUUUUAUGAUCCCCACACCAAGUACCAAUCAAUAGAAUGUCAUCACAGUGGUUCACUGUGUCCCAAGAAAUUUCAGGCCCAGAAGUCAGCUGAAAAGAUUCUGGCUUUGGUAUUUUGGGACAAAGAUGGAGUAUUCCUCAUAAUAUACCUGCCAAAGGGUUGCACCAUCAAUGCAGAAUACUACAUGUCUCUGAUGGACAAACCACAUGAAGCUUUGAAGCAGAAACAUCAUGGAAAGCUGAGCCAUGGUGUCCUGUUUUUGUAGGACAAUGCACCAGCACACACAGCACAUAAAACUCUAUUGAAAAUAUGACUUUGGCUUCAAAUUGGUAAGCCACCCACUUUACUCUCCUGACUUGGGCCCCUUCCGACUAUCACCUCAUUCCACUACUGAAGAAAAAUCUCAAGGGAAUGAAAUUUCACUCCAAUUUGGAAGUAAUUAUUGCUACAGAAGCCUAGUUGGAGGCCCAACCUUCUGGGUUCUUUUACAGGGCUUAGAAAAACUGAAGGGUUGCUGCAACAAGUGUGUGAAUCUGAGAGGGGAAUAUGUUAACUAAAAUCAUAAUUAACACUUUAACCACAUCAUGCACCAUAUACGGUACACGGGUAACUGUCCCAACCUGCAUUGUGUACCACUAUUGGUACACAGUAUAAAUUUAAAAAAAUUUUUUAAACUGAUAUUUUAAUGAACUCAGUCAUUAUUAUACAUGAUUUAUGUUUUAGAAAUGAAGGAUAAUAACUAGAUUUUGCAAAUUU
rnacentral:lncRNA from 1 species